rnacentral:rRNA from 1 species
UACGUAGGGUGCGAGCGUUAAUCGGAAUUACUGGGCGUAAAGCGUGCGCAGGCGGUGAUGUAAGACAGGUGUGAAAUCCCCGGGCUUAACCUGGGAACUGCAUUUGUGACUGCAUCGCUGGAGUGCGGCAGAGGGGGAUGGAAUUCCGCGUGUAGCAGUGAAAUGCGUAGAUAUGCGGAGGAACACCGAUGGCGAAGGCAAUCCCCUGGGCCUGCACUGACGCUCAUGCACGAAAGCGUCGGGGAGCAAACAGG